ensembl:lncRNA
AGAGAUGUAUUUAUUUGAAAGGCAGAGUUAGAGAGGGAGACAGAGAUCUUUCAACUGCUGGUUCACUCCCCAGAUGGCUACAACAGCCAGGGCUGGGCCGGACCAGAGCCAAGAGCCUGGAACUCCACAACCUCUGUGGGUGCAGGGGCCUAAGCACCUGGGCCAUCUUGCACUGCCUCCCCAGGCUCAUUAGCAGGGAGCAGCUAAGACUCAAAUCAGCACUCCCACAUGGGAUGCUGGCAUCCCAGGCACAGGCACCAACGGCACCAAAAUAAUCUUUAAAUUCCAUUUUACAUUAACUUUAAAAAAAAAAAAAGAUGUAUUCACUUAUUUGAAAGGCAGAGUUACAGAAAGAGGGAGAAAUAAAGAUCUUCCACCUGCUGAUUCACUCCCCACAUGGCCACAACAGCCAGGCUUGGCCAGAAGCCUGGAACUCCAUCCUGGUCUCCCACAUGGGUGGCAGGGACCCAAGUACUUGGGCCAUUCUCUGCUGCCUUCCCAGGUGCAUUAGCAGGUAGCUGGCUCAGAAGUAGAGCAGCCAGGACUUGAACCAGUGCUCGUACAGUGGCUUCCCUGCUGGACCCCAGUGCCGGCCCCAACACAUGAACUUUUUGAAGGACUCUCCUUCUCAUACAUUUCUCAGAACUUCUCAGUAUGGGGCCUGCGCUGUGGUUAAACUUGCACCUGCAGUGCCAGCAUCCCAUAUGGACACUGGUUCAAGCUCUGGCUGCUCCACUUGGAUCCAGCUCCCUACUAAUGUGCCUGGAAAAGCAGCAGAAGAUGGCUCAAGUCCCUGGGUCCCUGCACCCAUGUGGAAGACCUGAAAGAAGCCUCUGGCUCCUGGCUUCAUUCUGGCCCAGCCCUGACCCUUGUGGCCAUUUGAGGGGUAGACCAGCAGAUGGAAGGUCUCUCUCUGUCUCACCUUCUCUCUCUGUAAAUAAAUUAAUUAAUUUUUAAAAAGCUCAUUAUAUAGUUACAUAUCCUAGGAUUCGCCAUAUGGUUUUAAUCAGAGUGGCGCAUUGCACAUUCAGCUCCCUUCCCCUUCAAGGAGCAGGAGGGGAGUUGCAACCCCUCAGUUCCUUUGCCUCAGGAGCGUCAGACUGCGUGGCAAGUGCACCUGCUCCUAUCUUCUUCCCCUUUCUCUCCGCAGCUUCCUGGUGGCAUCGUUCUAUCUCCCACAAGAGUAACUCAUGUCGUACCCAUGAUCUGCAUUGGCAUGGCAACGCGAAAUGUGGCCACAGGCCCAUGUCCGUCGGGUCUGAUCUGAGUUGUCCUGCAGCACGGAAGCCAAGAUCAGGGAAGCGUCCGCCUCCUCGUCGUUGCCCGCUGCUGGAGGCGCCCACACACCUUGGCUUCCCAGCCCAUCGGCACAUCGGAGGUUCCAAGUUCCAACCUCUGCGUCUGUCGUCCAGCCUCCGUCGCCCCCUCCUCCUCCUCCUCAUGCCGGUCCUCCUGGCGCUGUUUUCAAAGGACCCUUGUGACCCACCCAUGCGUUCCAGGAUGAUCCCCCACCCAAGAUUCCCCACCGCAUCUGAGACUCCCCUUACCACGGUAGGCAACAUCGCCACCGCCUCUGGGUCACAGGUGUGACAUCUGCGAGGGGGGCAUUGUCUACCCGGUGCAAAGAGCCAGACCUGCAAGGUGCAGCUAGAGCUUGGUCUGGGACAUUUGGUUCAAUGUUCCCGGGGAGACGUCAGGCCGACAGUUGGAUAUCUGAGUCCGGAUUUCGGAAGGGAGGACCCCAACUGAAAUAUGAAUUGGGCAUCUCCUUGUUGUAUUUAAAACCACAGGCAACCGGUUCACCCAGGAAGUGAGUGCAGAGUGAGGAGAGAAGGCUGAGGUUUGAGUCCUGGCAUAGCCCCACGGCUGGGGAUGGGACACAGAAGGAGGAACAACCAAGAGUGGCGAGAGAGGCACGCGGAACGGCGGCCCGGAGGCCAAGGAAAGGCAGGGCUUGCAGCAGAGACUGCAACCGGCUCCGGAAGAGCCGAGGGAGAUGGAGCUGGCGGUGCCCCUGCCGUGGCUGGCAGGCCCUGGCGUGGAAGUGUGAUGUCCUGGUGAAGAUGGCUUCCAGAGGCGCCGGGAGCUGAGGAAUCAGACAUCGCACUCAGCGUUCUGGUGAGCAUGUGUGGACGGAUGAGCAGAGGGAUGGGGCAGCAGGGUCCGGCACCGCCCGAGGCCUGCCCAGGGCUGCCGGGGUGCAGGGUCUGGGCUGGAGGUUGAGGUUUGGGUCACAGCGGGAGGCACCUGUGUGGGAGUGGAGGCAGCAAGAGCCCCUUGGAGACGCAGCUCUUGACCCCGUGGACAGCUGCCUGCCGGUGCGGACAAGCUGGAUCCGGGUGGAAGUUUCUAGAAAUUUGAUCUUAUUUUAGCUACACUGGGGAAAUUAUUUAAAAGAAACUAGUGGCGAUUUUUCAUGGGAAAAACCCUCUCCAAAUAGAAGUGUAUUAUGAGAAUUUCCAUGCAUCAGUUUUUCCAAAAACUGGGCAUACCCCUAAAGACACUUGGCAUUCUCAGGACAAAACGAAACAUAAUUAUAACAUAUUUUCUCUGAAGCAUAUGAAGCACUUUUUUUUUUUUAAACUGAGGC